rnacentral:rRNA from 1 species
UACAGAGGGGGCAAGCGUUGUUCGGAAUUACUGGGCGUAAAGGGCGCGUAGGCGGGAUGGCAAGUCGGUCGUGAAAUCCCUCGGCUCAACUGAGGAGCGUCGAUCGAAACUGCCGUUCUUGAGGGUUGCAGAGGAGACUGGAAUUCCCGGUGUAGCGGUGAAAUGUGUAGAGAUCGGGAGGAACACCGGUGGCGAAGGCGGGUCUCUGGGCAACUCCUGACGCUGAGGCGCGAAAGCGUGGGGAGCAAACGGG